rnacentral:rRNA from 1 species
CCUACGGGGGGCAGCAGUGGGGAAUAUUGGACAAUGGGGGCAACCCUGAUCCAGCCAUGCCGCGUGUGUGAAGAAGGCCCUCGGGUUGUAAAGCACUUUCAGUGAGGAAGAACGCCUGGUGGUUAAUACCCAUCAGGAAAGACAUCACUCACAGAAGAAGCACCGGCUAACUCCGUGCCAUCAGCCGCGGUAAUACGGAGGGUGCGAGCGUUAAUCGGAAUUACUGGGCGUAAAGCGCGCGUAGGUGGCUUGAUAAGCCGGUUGUGAAAGCCCCGGGCUCAACCUGGGAACGGCAUCCGGAACUGUCAAGCUAGAGUGCAGGAGAGGAAGGUAGAAUUCCCGGUGUAGCGGUGAAAUGCGUAGAGAUCGGGAGGAAUACCAGUGGCGAAGGCGGCCUUCUGGACUGACACUGACACUGAGGUGCGAAAGCGUGGGUAGCAAACAGGAUUAGAUACCCUUGUAGUC